UGGCUGCCCCAAACUUUCCACCAGACGAGUUUGAUGAUCAGUUUCUGACUUGUGACGUCUGCAAGAGCCUCUACAACGACCCGCGAGUCCUGCCGUGUUUUCACACCUUCUGUGCCAGGUGUUUGGAACAAUGGCGAAAGGGAUGUAGUCAAUUCACCUGUCCUACCUGUCGACAACAGCCCUGCGAACCUGCUAGAUGACACCCGACACCGCCUGGCGUACGCAUGCGCGUUCGGUGCCACGGCAACCAGCUGCCUGACGCUGUUCGGGUCCUACUGUCCUCCUGGCACCCCCGGCUGGUUAGCUGUUUUCUACGCCAUCGCGAAGGUUGCAGAGUUGGGGAUCGACUACUACCCAUUCUUCGCCUGCAUGUCCGCCAGCUCCCGGCUGCUGGGGGCCGGGAUCGGUCUGCUGUACUCCGCCGUCUGGCUGCUGUUCUAC